AUUGAACGCUGGCGGCAUGCCUUACACAUGCAAGUCGAACGGCAGCACGGGGCAACCUGGUGGCGAGUGGCGAACGGGUGAGUAAUGCAUCGGAACGUACCUUUCAGUGUGGGAUAACGUAGCGAAAGUUACGCUAAUACCGCAUAUUCUGUGAGCAGGAAAGCAGGGGAUCGCAAGACCUUGCGCUGAUUGAGCGGCCGAUGUCAGAUUAGCUAGUUGGUGAGGUAAAGGCUCACCAAGGCGACGAUCGGUAGCGGGUCUGAGAGGAUGAUCCGCCACACUGGAACUGAGACACGGUCCAGACUCCUACGGGAGGCAGCAGUGGGGAAUUUUGGACAAUGGGGGCAACCCUGAUCCAGCCAUGCCGCGUGAGUGAAGAAGGCCUUCGGGUUGUAAAGCUCUUUCGGCCGGGAAGAAAUCGUAUCAGCUAAUACCUGGUGCGGAUGACGGUACCGGCAUAAGAAGCACCGGCUAACUACGUGCCAGCCGCCGCAGUAAAAC
rnacentral:rRNA from 1 species